rnacentral:rRNA from 1 species
GACGAACGCUGGCGGCGUGCUUAACACAUGCAAGUCGAACGGAAAGGCCCUGCUUUUGUGGGGUGCUCGAGUGGCGAACGGGUGAGUAACACGUGAGUAACCUGCCCUUGAUUUUGGGAUAACUUCAGGAAACUGGGGCUAAUACCGGAUAGGAGCUCCAGCUGCAUGGUGGGGGUUGGAAAGUUUCGGCGGUCGGGGAUGGACUCGCGGCUUAUCAGCUUGUUGGUGGGGUAGUGGCUUACCAAGGCUUUGACGGGUAGCCGGCCUGAGGGGGUGACCGGCCACAUUGGGACUGAGAGACGGCCCAGACUCCUACGGGAGGCAGCAGUGGGGAAUAUUGCACAAUGGGCGGAAGCCUGAUGCAGCAACGCCGCGUGCGGGAUGACGGCCUUCGGGUUGUAAACCGCUUUCGCCUGUGACGAAGCGAAAGUGACGGUAAUAGGUAAAAAAGCACCGGCUAACUACGUG